CUAGGGCUCUAGAUUAAGGAGAAAAAGGGAGAAGAAAAAAGAAGAAUGAUUCUUCUCUUCGAUCUUUCUUUUUGAUUUUUUUGGGGUAUAAAAAUUUAUAUUAUUUUUAACAUGAGAAAUCAGAUUAGAUCUGAUUUUUAUCAUAAAAAAUUAGGAAAAAAAAAUUUCUUAAAGGUAUGAAAGGAAGAGACAAAGGUUCUCUCUUGUGCAUGAG
rnacentral:lncRNA from 1 species